GUGAGUGUUUCUUUGGCAGUGUCUUAGCUGGUUGUUGUGAGCAAUAAUCAAGGAAGCAAUCAGCAAGUAUACUGCCCUAGAAGUGCUGCACAU
ensembl:miRNA